rnacentral:rRNA from 1 species
GCGCCUUCUCUCUCCUCCAGAACAUGCGAUUUGUCUGGUUUAUUCCGAAAACGAACGAGACUCUAGCCUAUUAAAUAGGUGCGUGGUUCUCUGCACCUGCACCUUCUUAGAGGGACAAGCGGCUCCUAGCCGCACGAAACAGAGGAAUAACAGGUCGGUGAUGC